AACACUAAUUGAAAGCCGUUACGAAGAACGUCGUUGUUGUGUUGCUCUAAAGCAAAGCCGUUUGUAAGCCUCUUGGAAAGUUUAGAUAUUAUUUUGUGAUAGAAAUACCCUGGAAAACGGCAUUUGAGAGUAGAGUUUAAUUUUUCGUUGGUAUCUGAACCAGUAUGGAACUUUGUUCAAAUCAAUGUUGCAGACUUUACAAUGCUGACCAGUUAUCUGUGGGUGAAAACCUUAUCAACAGAAUUUAAAUUUAACAAUUAUAUUGAGACUGAGAAAACACAUGAAAAAACAAUUGGUCAAACUACAAAAAUAAUGCCUACUUCCCAUAUUUAUGUUAUUAUAGACCAUGGAAUGCCUACCACUACCAGCUAGCUGUGGCUGCAAAUCUACUUCACAGAGCUUAAAUCUGCCCAUGUGUGAUAAGUGGUGACUGUAGUACAAUACAAGAUGGAACAUGGCCUUGAAAGACAACAGUGAAAAUGGCAGUGUUGUAUGUUUGCGGUUACAAAGCAUAUCCCACUAAUUGUUCCUACUCUCUCCUUUUAUAGGUUGACAGCAGAGGUAUCAUACUCUUCACUAAAAGAAAUUAGGUUCCAACAUGAUUGCAUUUUGGUACAGCUGUGUACAGGAAAAGAUCUAUUGGUAAAUAAACGUAGAUCACCCAUUAAAAUGAUUUUGUAGUUAUCAUGUCACUACUUUAAAAAUUCAGAUUAGAUCAAUUUUGGUGUUUCCAACUUGCCUUUGUACAGGAACCUGUAGCCUGAAAGUUGUAGACUGUGAAAGGCUGAACAGCCAUCUGCAUUUAGAAAUCCACCUGACCAAGCCUAAGAUUCUUAGACUGAGAAAACACAAGCUGAAGAAGUUGCAAGGAAAAAAAAUAUGGAAGGCAACGUCGUAGAAAAACCCAUUUUUGUGAAGUAUAUUCGACGCCAUUAUGGAUGUUCUGUGAAGUGAGAAUGUUGUCCAGAUUUUCAAAGACACUUCCAUAUCUUGAUCAAGGAACACAUUUUGCAAUGUGUAUGCAACUGUGCUUUGAUCUCCCUAAGAACUGGACAUUCAACAUUUUUCUUUGCUGGUCUGCCAUUUCCUUACCUGCUAGUAAUGGUGACGGAAAUGGGUAGACAAAAGAUGAAAUAUGAUAAUGGUCAGAAGCUGAACAUGUUAGGAGUGGAAUUAUGCUCGGAAGGUGAUGGAGAACAGGAUGGAUGUGCACUUGUACAGUACAAAGAGUAACCAGUUCACGAGAAGGUUAAGAAAGUUGACAAUGUUCGCGAUGCAAUACGUUUCAGAGUUCCAUCGCUUGGGUUCAGGAAUGUUACGUUCCUUUUUAUAGAACCCCUCAGGACCCUGAAUGUGAAAGGCAUUGGCACCAGCCAACACUGAAAUUUGCAAGCAUGAUUUACCAAUGAAAUGUGGAAUUCCAGGUUUAUCAAGAACUUGUAUCGGGCAGCUAUGGUAUUUUUCGUUAAUUUUCUCCGAUGAUAGUGUACCCCAUCACAUCUUUCCACUCCAUCUUGUACAUGAUUCAUUUCCCGAGUAGAAAAUCGAUUAAGUCGCGUCUUUCAAAUAGAUUACUGAACCAAUUAUGGAAACUGAUCGGCAGCAAUUCAGGUUCACCCAGCUCUUGCCAUAUAGACAAGUAAAUGCACGAUAAUCUACAACGUUUAUCUAUGGCCAAAUCUACGGGAUUUGGUUGCUUAUAGAAUCCGAACUCGUCUUGUAACUGACAUGGGAAAGAUUUUCCGCGAUUCCGUCAUUGAAGGGAAGAAAUCUUCCCUAGAAUUUGUCACCAUUCGGGAUGAUCCGGUUUAUUCGACUGAGUCGUUUUUACAGCUCGCAACCUUGCCUUCAUUUUUUGCCUUAACUCAUUGUUGGUCCAUUUCUUGGCUAGAGCUGUCUCAUCCUAAAAAUAUGUUAUGGCUCUAUGUUGUUAAUAAAUAGCAAACAAUCUCGCAUUUUUCACCGAUCGCCCGUAAUUUUGAUCUAGCAGCAUCGCGCUCUUCUAAUAGUUUAAUCUUGGGUCACGUAAUCAGCUUCUUCAUGUUCGUUUUAAUUCAGCACUCAACGAAUUCAACACUCCCUAUCCUGUAGCUCCGAUCCGUUAUGCGCUAAGUUGGUGUUAAUCUUUCUUGUUAUAGAGAUGUUAUGCAGUAUGUCGUGGAGGAAUUUGACCAAAAGUAUGCAGAAGAUAGCAUAGACUCUUAACUCUCUUGGAGAAACAGCGAAUGAAUUGCGUUCAAAAUUUCUCUAGACUAAAUUGUAUUGCUAAUUAACGAAAAAAUUUGUUUGCAGAUGGCAGUAAAUUUGUUGCGAUGAAGCAUGACGAUUCACUACUACUCAACACAUGCUGCGACGAAAGACUACACUGAAUGGAAAUAAGAGCUCCAUCAGUGAGACGAGUUGAUUUGGACUAGGUGGAAUAUCUGAAGUCUUCAAGAGUCGCACCGGCAUCCGUGUUUCUGCUUUCGUUCCAGCACAUUUCUAUGUCGGUAGCACGUUGGGCGUAUCAAAGGAAAAAUUAAGAAUGCCAAUCUGAAGAAAACAAACAAAAACGAGGUCGCAGAUUCCGUUUGGCAGGAGUUUGGUAUUCUGUGGUGUUUACCUAGUCGAAGUAUAAUACACGACUUUGUUAGAGA